rnacentral:lncRNA from 1 species
UUCAAAUUCAUGAUCACUGCUGCCAUUGCUAUGGGAUAUUAACCUUCUCUUCCUUCUAUGUUUGAUAAUUUUAUCACAUCCAGACUUGCUACCAGUGAUUGCAUGGUGCCUACGCUUGGUCAUUUCUCUGGAAUACAAGUGAGAUUUCUCACAUGGAAGUGCUUGUACUAUUUCUGGGAACGUCACAUCGCAACGAAUACGCUUGGCUGAAGUAAAUCUAUUGACUGUGGGGAUAAUAGAGGCUAGCCUUUCCCACCUCAA